UUGGAAUUUAUGCGGGUUAUGGACAAUAUCAUGCCAAUCCUCUAAGUUCGAAAACAUCAAUUAUUUACCAUAGGGCACCUGCAGAAGAAGCUCCGUGAUUAAGCUUCUAAUGAUUUUGAAUCAACCUUGAUUAUAAUUUUAUCAACUGUAAGAAUCUUGACGCAAUAUCCUCAAGAAUUGGAGGAGCUCUCAUUUCCCAUUCAAGCUCCAUGAUUAAGCUUCUAAUGGUUUUCAAUCAACCUUGACUACAAUUUUAUCAACUGUAAGAAUCUUGACGCAAUAUCCUCAAGAAUUGGAGGAGCUCUCAUUUCCCAUUCAAGCCACAGUGCAUUGGUCAAAUGUUGUUGUUCCAUGUGUGUGUAUAUAUGUAAAUUGAUUGGUGAUCUAUUGAUUAAGAAGUACACUUGAGCUUAGUGCUGUCAGAAAGCUUGGUGCUGCUUUUGGAUAAAUACACAGUAAUUGUACAGCACCAUCUUCCUUCAGCAUUUCAAUGAUACUUGUAGUGUUUACUGUUAAAAAAAACCACAUGGGAUUUUAUUGCCGUGGGCAAUUGCGACUUUAUAGUUUCUUCCUUAAAUUGUUUCUGGUUUAUGUUUUGCAUUCUAGAUUAUAACAACAGUUUUCUGGAUUAAUUUCAGACUAGGGACCAUGGUUAGAGAUAUAUUGCCAUUAGUGUGUAAAUCCAAACCUCUUAACCUUUGUAUAUUCUUGUUCCUUGGAUUAUUAGUGUGGUCAGUCAUCAAUAUUUUCUCGCCGAACUCAUGCUUUAAUCAAAUGCUGACAUUGACUCCUUUCCUGUCCGAGCAAGUUUAAAGUAUAAUAUGGA
rnacentral:lncRNA from 1 species